rnacentral:lncRNA from 1 species
GGGCACAGUGGCUCACGCCUGUAAUCCCAGCACUUUGGGAGGCCAAGACAGGCGGAUCACGAGGUAAGGAGUUCGAGACCAGCCUGGCCAACAUAGUGAAACCUAGUCUCUAGUAAAAAUACAAAAUAUUAGCCGGGCGUGGUGGCAGGUGCCUGUAAUCCUAGCUACUCGGGAGGCUGAGGCAGGAAUCAGGGAAGAGGAACCUGGGAAUCAGAGGUUGCAACGAGCCAAGAUCGCACCACUGCACACCAGCCUGGGCAACAGUGCAAGCUACU